rnacentral:rRNA from 1 species
UACGUAGGGUGCAAGCGUUAAUCGGAAUUACUGGGCGUAAAGCGUGCGCAGGCGGUUAUGUAAGUCAGACGUGAAGUCCCUCGGCUUAACCUGGGAACUGCGUCUGAUACUGGAUGGCUUGGAUUUGGGAGAGGGAUGCGGAAUUCCAGGUGUAGCGGUGAAAUGCGUAGAUAUCUGGAGGAACACCGGUGGCGAAGGCGGCAUCCUGGACCGACAUUGACGCUGAGGCGCGAAAGCCAGGGGAGCAAACGGG